CUUGGUCAUUUAGAGGAAGUAAAAGUCGUAACAAGGUUUCCGUAGGUGAACCUGCGGAAGGAUCAUUAUCGAAUCUGAAAGGGGGUUGUUGCUGGCCUUUAGGGGCAUGUGCACGCCUCUGCUCUAUUCUCCUUCAACCACUGUGCACCCUUUGUAGGCUGGAGAAAUCUGGUCUAUGUUUUUUUAUACACACCUAAACAAGUAUUAGAAUGUCAUACUUUUCAGUACACUCGAGAGGGUGGAAAAAAAAUUAUACAACUUUCAACAACGGAUCUCUUGGCUCUCGCAUCGAUGAAGAACGCAGCGAAAUGCGAUAAGUAAUGUGAAUUGCAGAAUUCAGUGAAUCAUCGAAUCUUUGAACGCACCUUGCGCUCCUUGGUAUUCCGAGGAGCAUGCCUGUUUGAGUGUCAUUAAAUUCUCAACCCCCCGACGGAUUUGUUUCUGACGUGGGGCUUGGAUGUGAGGGUGUGCUGGACUCCAUUAGGAGGUCAGCUCCCUUUGAAUGCAUUAGCGGAUUUUACCAUCGUGGAUAGGCUUCGGACUGAUAAUUAUCUAUGCCGUCGCCGUGAAGCGGUAAUCUGCUCAUAACCGUCUUUGGACAAUUUUUUGACCAUUUGACCUCAAAUCAGGUAGGACUACCCGCUGAACUUAAGCAUAUCAAUAAGCGGAGGAAAAGAAACUAACAAGGAUUCCCCUAGUAACUGCGAGUGAAGCGGGAAAAGCUCAAAUUUGAAAUCUGGCGGCUCCGCCGUCCGAGUUGUAUUCUGGAGAAGCGUUUUCCGUGCUGGACCGUGUACAAGUCUCCUGAAUCCUU
rnacentral:rRNA from 1 species